UGUGAAACUGAAGACUGGAUGUGUAGCUGACGCUGGAAGGUCAGCUCAGGGGAUGAUAUUUUGGUGAUUUGAGUGGUUAAUGUUUAUUUUGACUUUAUAGUUUAUUUUGUGAUUUCAUAGUUUAAAUGUGUAUUUCUGUAUGGUGAAUUUCUUAAUUUGUUUGCCGUUUGUAUUUUAUUAUUAUUCUAUCGUUGAAGUUGAGGUCAUGUGAUCCUGUGUGUGCUGAUUAAUUCAGCUGGACGUGUUAGCGUCAAUGUAAUGAUGUGAUGUGAAACUAAGACCGCAGGAUAGUGCUCCUGACUUAAAUCUACUGUUGGUUACCAGGCGAAUACGUUUUCACGGUGUCUCUGGAAUAAAUAAACAAAAAUGGACAUCAGUACUUCGGAAGCGUGGACUGUUUUGUAAUCAGCGAGUAGUUACAGUGAAAACGUAACCUAAUUCCAUUCUACCGACUACGAGAUGUGCUUUGGCGGUGAUCCUCCAGCUUCGGCGAGCAGCCUGCCACUUCCAAGUCUCUGCACGCGGAUGAACUGUUUUCCGUGGUGAUCGCCGAUGCUGCUGUCUUCGGUGUGCGGAUCUGUUGUGCCUUCCUUGGACUUCGCGUGCCGUUCGAUUGUGUCCCGUGGUGAACUUAAAGGACUUGGCGUGCAGUGUUUGCCUUCUAUGAUGGACCGUUGCGAGCUUUAGUGUGUAAAUCUGCUACAUGACCGUCAAUGGAGGAUCUUCUCACGCAACUUUGUGUCAGCUGCGUAUCAGCAGGUUAGAUGUGCAAUGUCAAAUGAUCCUUUUUGUAAAUGAUGGAUAGUUUUAAGUAAAAAAAAAAAAAAAAAAAAAAAAAAA